rnacentral:rRNA from 1 species
UACGUAGGGUGCAAGCGUUGUCCGGAAUUAUUGGGCGUAAAGAGCUCGUAGGCGGUUUGUUGCGUCGGCUGUGAAAACUCGGGGCUUAACCCCGAGCCUGCAGUCGAUACGGGCAGACUAGAGUGCGGUAGGGGAGACUGGAAUUCCUGGUGUAGCGGUGAAAUGCGCAGAUAUCAGGAGGAACACCGGUGGCGAAGGCGGGUCUCUGGGCCGUAACUGACGCUGAGGAGCGAAAGCGUGGGGAGCAAACAGG